GCCUGGCUGGCUCAGUUGGUAGAACAUGUGACUCUUGAUCUCAGGGUCAUGGGUUCAAGCCCCAUGUUGGGCA
rfam:Ailuropoda melanoleuca scaffold1771_51, whole genome shotgun sequence.